UGGAUCUGUUCUAGGGGUCUCUUUGCUUUUAUGCAACUGGAUUUAAAUUUCACAACCCUAAAUCCCCGGUUUUUGAGCUAGGCUGAAGAACACAACCUUUGCCUGCAAAUCAUGAUCAGAUUAGCACAUAGCAUCUUAUUUCUUUUUUUAAAAAAGAAUUGGACAGAUUUUGUAUCUUGUGCGUGGUUGGACUGGGAGGAAAUAUCGGGAAAUUUCCCGAAAUAUCGGUGAAGAGGAACCAGAAAUUUCGCCCAAAAUUUUC
rnacentral:lncRNA from 1 species